CCAGACUCCUACGGGAGGCAGCAGUGGGGGAUAUUGCACAAUGGGGGGAACCCUGAUGCAGCGACGCCGCGUGGGUGAAGGAGUAUUUCGGUAUGUAAAGCCCUAUCGGCAGGGAAGAAGCAAGACGGUACCUGACUAAGAAGCCCCGGCUAACUACGUGCCAGCAGCCGCGGGAAUACGUAGGGGGCAAGCGUUAUCCGGAUUUACUGGGUGUAAAGGGAGCGUAGACGGCAGCGCAAGUCUGAAGUGAAAUGCCGGGGCUUAACCCCGGAACUGCUUUGGAAACUGUGCAGCUAGAGUACAGGAGAGGUAAGUGGAAUUCCUAGUGUAGCGGUGAAAUGCGUAGAUAUUAGGAGGAACACCAGUGGCGAAGGCGGCUUACUGGACGACUACUGACGCUGAGGCUCGAAAGCGUGGGGAGCAAACAGGAUUAGAUACCCCCGUA
rnacentral:rRNA from 1 species